GCCCUAUUAACUCAGUCGGUUAGAGUGUCGUGCUUAUAGCUUAGCAAGAGCUAUGUUUGAGUCACGCGAUGGCCGCCAGUUCGAUCCUGGCAUAGGGCA